CGACCCCAGGUCAGGCGGGACUACCCGCUGAGUUUAAGCA
rnacentral:rRNA from 3 species